rnacentral:lncRNA from 1 species
GUCUCUUCGAUCUUGCCCUUGACGGCGCCGGCGCGGGAGUGGAACCCCGCGCUCCCUGCCAGCGCCACUCCGGAGGAAGCUCUGAGCAGCAAAAAAAGUGCACCGGCGAGAGCUUCAGGGGGACUUCCAUGGCGGGCAACCAGCCGCAGGUGAACAACGGUUUCUUCUUACAUUAGUAGAAGAGUGAGAAGGACCGGGAGCAUGAGCAGCCAGAGGCAGCGCUUGCUCUCGCAGGGGCGACGGCGGUUUCCGGGCUUCUCGCCGUUGCGGAUGAAGCAGCCGCAGAGGAGGACGGCGCCGUAGACCAGGCCGGCCAGGAGCCAGAUAACCGCCAUGCUGUAGCCAUAGACGCCGGUGAAGACGGCGGACUUGAAGAAGGAGAAGAAGAGGAAGCGUCAGAGGAGAAAGCGUUGCGGACCCAUCUACCAAAAGUUGAAGAUGGAGAGGGGAGACGGCGAUGCGAUGGCUUACACUCCAGUAAUGCAGGUCGGUGAUGUUGUACCCUCCUCUGUAUUUCCUGAACCCGUCCAAGGGAUCGAUUCUCGAGGGCCGGAGCUCGCCGUCCGCUGCUGCCGAAGAUCAGACAGAUUACACAGGUUAUGCCUCUCUCUCUCUCUCUCUCUCUCUCUCUA